CCCGCGUGGGGCCCGGUGGGCUUCCCGGAGGGUUCCGGGGGUCGGCCUGCGGCGCGUGCGGGGGAGGAGACGGUUCCGGGGGACCGGCCGCGACUGCGGCGGCGGUGGUGGGGGGAGCCGCGGGGAUCGCCGAGGGGGUCCCCGUGGCGUCCCCUUCCCCGCCGGCCGCCUUUCUCGCGCCUUCCCCGUCGCCCCGGCCUCGCCCGUGGUCUCUCGUCUUCUCCCGGCCCGCUCUUCCGAACCGGGUCGGCGCGUCCCCCGGGUGCGCCUCGCUUCCCGGGCCUGCCGCGGCCCUUCCCCGAGGCGUCCGUCCCGGGCGUCGGCGUCGGGGAGAGCCCGUCCUCCCCGCGUGGCGUCGCCCCGUUCGGCGCGCGCGUGCGCCCGAGCGCGGCCCGGUGGUCCCUCCCGGACAGGCGUUCGUGCGACGUGUGGCGUGGGUCGACCUCCGCCUUGCCGGUCGCUCGCCCUUUCCCCGGGUCGGGGGGUGGGGCCCGGGCCGGGGCCUCGGCCCCGGUCGCGGUCCCCCGUCCCGGGCGGGGGCGGGCGCGCCGGCCGGC
rnacentral:lncRNA from 1 species